CUCUCAGUCACGCGUGGUGAGGCCGAAACAGGAGACGACCAUCUUAGAGCCUGGAGGAAGGGCUAUCCUCAGCCAUGGAUUCCCUGAGGUUUCCCCCUACCAUCAAAAAAUAUAUAAAUAAUAUAACUGCAAUAUGGCCCUGCAGCAAAGAGGCAAAGGCGGGGAGCAACAAACCUUCUUUAGGUUUGGCAUUAAAUGCAAAAUCAACCCUGCUGAUAACGUUGAUGCAUCAGAGAGUCAAGCGCCUGCCGCAGGAGAAGCUGGAAUCCCCCAAGUAACUCAAAAUCGUGUCUGUGACAAUGUCUGACCUCUGUUCCAGUUGUACUUUUUGCUUUGAAACUCAGAAGACAUAAAGAUGAAAUCCGGUCACAGUGGUUCAGUACACAUGGCUGGCAGAACAUCUACAAACUCCAGAGCCAUAAGAUGCUGG